AACUUUCGGCAAUGGAUCACUUGGCUCUCGCAUCGAUGAAGAACGCAGCGAAAUGCGAUAAGUAAUGUGAAUUGCAGAAUUCCGUGAAUCAUCGAAUCUUUGAACGCACCUUGCACCCUUUGGAAUUCCGAAGGGCAUGCUCGUUUGAGUGUCAUUGUACUCUCCCACUCCUCUGAUCCUUUGGAUUCGGGGAGCGGUGGACUUGGGUGUUUGCUGCGUUCCUCGUGGCUCACCUUAAAUGCGUCAGUGCACCACUUGGUUGGACAUAGUACGGCGUGAUAAGUGUCUUCGACGGCACCUCGCAAGAGGGUGGCCGAUCGAGAGCUCUGUGCUUUCAAACCGUCUUCGGCCACUUGCUGACAACUUGACCCCAAAUCGAUUAGGACUCCCCGUUGACCGUAAGCAUAUCAAUGAUCGGAGGCU
rnacentral:misc_RNA from 1 species